UUGGAGGGCAAGUCUGGUGCCAGCAGCCGCGGUAAUUCCAGCUCCAAUAGCGUAUAUUAAAGUUGUUGCAGUUAAAAAGCUCGUAGUUGAAUUUCGGGGUCAGUAGGUCGGUCGUGCCACUGGUAUGAACUGGUUUUACUGAUUCCUCCCUCUUGAAGAACUGUAAUGCCAUUAAUUUGGUGUUGCAGGGAAUCAGGACUGUUACUUUGAAAAAAUUAGAGUGUUUAAAGCAGGCUUUAGCUUGAAUACAUUAGCAUGGAAUAAUGAAAUAGGACGUUUGGUCCUAUUUUGUUGGUUUCUAGGAUUGACGUAAUGAUUAAUAGGGAUAGUUGGGGGCAUUAGUAUUCAAUUGUCAGAGGUGAAAUUCUUGGAUUUAUUGAAGACUAACUACUGCGAAAGCAUUUGCCAAGGAUGUUUUCAUUAAUCAAGAACGAAAGUUAGGGGAUCGAAGACGAUCAGAUACCGUCGUAGUCUUAACCAUAAACUAUGCCGACUAGGGAUCGGAUGAUGUUAAUUUUUUAAUGACUCAUUCGGCGCCUUACGGGAAAC
rnacentral:rRNA from 1 species